rnacentral:rRNA from 1 species
UACGUAGGGAGCAAGCGUUGUUCGGAUUUACUGGGCGUAAAGGGCGCGUAGGCGGCAAAUUAAGUCAGCUGUGAAAUCUCCGAGCUUAACUCGGAACUGUCAGCUGAUACUGAUCUGCUAGAGUGCGGAAGGGGCAAUCGGAAUUCUUGGUGUAGCGGUGGAAUGCGUAGAGAUCGGGAAGAACAUCAGUGGCGAAGGCGGCCUGCUGGGCUGUUGCUGACGCUGAGGCGCGGCAGCGUGGGGAGCAAACAGG